rnacentral:rRNA from 1 species
AACGAACGCUGGCGGCAGGCCCAACACAUGCAAGCCGAACGGAUGUAGCAAUACAUUAGUGGCGCACGGGUGCGUAACACGUGGGAAUGUACCCCAGGGUAAGGAAUAAUGUCUGGAAACGGACACUAAUACCUUAUAAUGACUUUGGUCCAAAGAUUUAUCGCCCUGGGAUCAGCCCGCGACUGAUUAGCUAGUUGGUGAGGUAAUGGCUCACCAAGGCUACGAUCAGUAGCUGGUCUGUGAGGAUGAUCAGCCACACUGGAACUGAGACACGGUCCAGACUCCUACGGGAGGCAUCAGUGAGGAAUAUUGCACAAUGGAGGAAACUCUGAUGCAGCCAGGCCGCGUGAGUGAAGAAGGCCUUCGGGUUGUAAAGCUCUUUUAGUCGUGAAAAUAAUGACGGUAGCGACAGAAAAAGCCCCGGCUAAAUUCGUGCCAGCCGCCGCGGUAA